rfam:Nicotiana attenuata strain TT chromosome 8, whole genome shotgun sequence.
AUUCCAUUAUGCUGACAUCUUCUCACUAUUUCCUUGAAUCUUUCCCAAGUUUCAAAGACCGUUUCAGUGUCCUUCUGCCAGAAGUUAUGAAUUUCUCUUAUGAUUUC